AUUGAACGCUGGCGGAAUGCUUUACACAUGCAAGUCGAACGGCAGCACGGACUUCGGUCUGGUGGCGAGUGGCGAACGGGUGAGUAAUAUAUCGGAACGUAUCCAAUAAUGGGGGAUAACUAAGCGAAAGCUUGGCUAAUACCGCAUACGCCCUACGGGGGAAAGCUAGGGACCUUCGGGCCUGGCGUUAAUGGAGUGGCCGAUAUCUGAUUAGCUAGUUGGUGGGGUAAAGGCCCACCAAGGCGACGAUCAGUAGCUGGUCUGAGAGGACGACCAGCCACACUGGAACUGAGACACGGUCCAGACUCCUACGGGAGGCAGCAGUGGGGAAUUUUGGACAAUGGGCGCAAGCCUGAUCCAGCCAUUCCGCGUGAGUGAAGAAGGCCUUCGGGUUGUAAAGCUCUUUCGCAAGGGAAGAAACUCAGAUACUAAAAUUAUCUGAGGUUGACGGUACCUUGAUAAGAAGCACCGGCUAACUACGUGCCAGCAGCCGCGGUAAUACGUAGGGUGCGAGCGUUAAUCGGAAUUACUGGGCGUAAAGCGUGCGCAGGCGGUUUUGUAAGUCAGAUGUGAAAUCCCCGAGCUCAACUUGGGAACUGCGUCCGAAACUACAAGACUAGAAUAUGUCAGAGGGGGGUAGGAUUCCACGUGUAGCAGUGAAAUGCGUAGAGAUGUGGAGGAAUACCAAUGGCGAAGGCAGCCCCCUGGGAUAAUAUUGACGCUCAUGCACGAAAGCGUGGGGAGCAAACAGGAUUAGAUACCCUGGUAGUCCACGCCCUAAACGAUGUCUACUAGUUGUUGGUGGAGUAAAAUCCAUGAGUAACGCAGCUAACGCGUGAAGUAGACCGCCUGGGGAGUACGGUCGCAAGAUUAAAACUCAAAUGAAUUGACGGGGGCCCGCACAAGCGGUGGAUUAUGUGGAUUAAUUCGAUGCAACGCGAAAAACCUUACCUGGCCUUGACAUGUAACGAACUUCCCAGAGAUGGAUUGGUGCUUGAAAGAGAACGUUAACACAGGUGCUGCAUGGCUGUCGUCAGCUCGUGUCGUGAGAUGUUGGGUUAAGU
rnacentral:rRNA from 1 species